GAUGAACGCUGGCGGUGUGCCUAAUACAUGCAAGUCGAGCGAACGGACGAGAAGCUUGCUUUUCUGAUGUUAGCGGCGGACGGGUGAGUAACACGUGGAUAACCUACCUAUAAGACUGGGAUAACUUCGGGAAACCGGAGCUAAUACCGGAUAAUAUUCUGAACCGCAUGGUUCAAAAGUGAAAGACGGUCUUGCUGUCACUUAUAGAUGGAUCCGCGCUGCAUUAGCUAGUUGGUAAGGUAACGGCUUACCAAGGCAACGAUGCAUAGCCGACCUGAGAGGGUGAUCGGCCACACUGGAACUGAGACACGGUCCAGACUCCUACGGGAGGCAGCAGUAGGGAAUCUUCCGCAAUGGGCGAAAGCCUGACGGAGCAACGCCGCGUGAGUGAUGAAGGUCUUCGGAUCGUAAAACUCUGUUAUUAGGGAAGAACAUAUGUGUAAGUAACUGUGCACAUCUUGACGGUACCUAAUCAGAAAGCCACGGCUAACUACGUG
rnacentral:rRNA from 1 species